rnacentral:rRNA from 1 species
UACGGAGGGUGCAAGCGUUAUCCGGAUUCACUGGGCUUAAAGGGUGCGUAGGUGGGCAGGUACGUCAGUGGUGAAAUCUCUGGGCUUAACUCAGAAACUGCCAUUGAUACUAUCUGUCUUGAAUACCGUGGAGGUCAGCGGAAUAUGUCAUGUAGCGGUGAAAUGCUUAGAUAUGACAUAGAACACCAAUUGCGAAGGCAGCUGGCUACACGAAUAUUGACACUGAUGCACGAAAGCGUGGGGAUCAAACAGG